GGGAUUGUCCCUGUAAUAAGUGCACUGUAUAAUACAUUGGUAAUCAGAAGGUUGCUGGUUUGAUCACCACAGUCACCACCAUUGUGUCCUUGAGUAAGACACUUAACUCCAUGUUGCUCCGGGGGGAUUGUCCCUGUAAUAAGUGCUCUGUAUAAUACAUUGGUACUCAGAAGGUUGCUGGUUCGAUCCCCACAAUCACCACCAUUGUGUCCUUGAGUAAGACACUUAACUCCAGGUUGCUCCGGGGGGAUUGUCCCUGUAAUAAGUGCUCUGUAUAAUACAUUGGUACUCAGAAGGUUGCUGGUUUGAUCCCCACAGUCACCACCAUUGUGUCCUUGAGUAAGACACUUAACUCCAGGUUGCUCCGGGGGGAUUGUCCCUGUAAUAAGUGCACUGUAUAAUACAUUGGUACUCAGAAGGUUGCUGGUUCGAUCCCCACAGUCACCACCAUUGUGUCCUUGAGUAAGACACUUAACUCCAGGUUGCUCCGGGGGGAUUGUCCCUGUAAUAAGUGCACUGUAUAAUACAUUGGUACUCAGAAGGUUGCUGGUUCGAUCCCCACAGUCACCACCAUUGUGUCCUUGAGUAAGACACUUAACUCCAGGUUGCUCCGGGGGGAUUGUCCCUGUAAUAAGUGCACUGUAUAAUACAUUGGUACUCAGAAGGUUGCUGGUUCGAUCCCCACA